rnacentral:rRNA from 1 species
AGUGAACGCUGGCGGUAGACCUAACACAUGCAAGUCGAACGGCAGCACAGUAAGAGCUUGCUCUUACGGGUGGCGAGUGGCGGACGGGUGAGGAAUACAUCGGAAUCUACUUUUUCGUGGGGGAUAACGUAGGGAAACUUACGCUAAUACCGCAUACGACCUACGGGUGAAAGCAGGGGAUCUUCGGACCUUGCGCGAUUGAAUGAGCCGAUGUCGGAUUAGCUAGUUGGCGGGGUAAAGGCCCACCAAGGCGACGAUCCGUAGCUGGUCUGAGAGGAUGAUCCGCCACACUGGAACUGAGACACGGUCCAGACUCCUACGGGAGGCAGCAGUGGGGAAUAUUGGACAAUGGGCGCAAGCCUGAUCCAGCCAUACCGCGUGGGUGAAGAAGGCCUUCGGGUUGUAAAGCCCUUUUGUUGGGAAAGAAAAGCAGCAGGUUAAUACCCCGCUGUUCUGACGGUACCCAAAGAAUAAGCACCGGCUAACUUCGUG